GGUGCUGUGGCCGAGCGGUCUAAGGCGACGGAUUUGAAAUCCGUUGGGGUUCCUCUCGCUGGUUCGAAUCCAGUCGGCAUCG